rnacentral:rRNA from 1 species
AUUGAACGCUGGCGGCAUGCCUUACACAUGCAAGUCGAACGGUAACAGGUCUUCGGAUGCUGACGAGUGGCGAACGGGUGAGUAAUACAUCGGAACGUGCCCGAUCGUGGGGGAUAACGGAGCGAAAGCUUUGCUAAUACCGCAUACGAUCUACGGAUGAAAGCAGGGGACCGCAAGGCCUUGCGCGGACGGAGCGGCCGAUGGCAGAUUAGGUAGUUGGUGGGAUAAAAGCUUACCAAGCCGACGAUCUGUAGCUGGUCUGAGAGGACGACCAGCCACGAUGGGAAUGAGACACGGCCCAGACUCCGACGGGAGGCAGCAGUGGGGAAUUUUGGACAAUGGGCGCAAGCCUGAUCCAGCCAUGCCGCGUGCAGGAAGAAGGCCUUAGGGUUGUAAACUGCUUUUGUACGGAACGAAACGGCUCUGGUUAAUACCUGGGGCUAAUGACGGUACCGUAAGAAUAAGCACCGGCUAACUACGUGCCAGCAGCCGCCGUAAAAC